UGUUAAAAAUUGAAUUCCACCGAACACUAUAUCCUUCUAUUUUGUCAUCAACGUCUUACAACAAUAGACACUGAAUAUACCCAUUUUAACAUCAUAGCAUUUAAUAAAAUCAUUUAAUAUUUCUACAUAAACAUUAGGUUUUCAACUUAAUAAAAUAUCCAUACACCAAGUCAAGGUCAUUGCAAUGACUUACAUAAAUGACAAAAAGAUGAUAAAUAACAACAAUAUAAUAUUAUCUCAAUCUUUAACUUCAACAAGCUAACAUCUUCUGAAUAUUGAAUUUGAGAAUUCACAAUCAAAAUUGAUCUUUCUCAUUACUUUCUGUUUAAUAAUUUUUUUGUUUUUUAAUUUAAUUUUUGAACUUAACACAGUGUAUGUAAGUUGGGCCAAUUAGUCUCAAAAUCAAGCAUGUCAUCAAUUAAUUUAAUAGUUGAUUAGUACAAACAUCUAAGGUACAUUUCCUUAUCAAUUUCAUUGUAAAAAUUUUCAAUUUUCCUUUCAAUAUGUUUAAAAUAUUCAUGUUUCAACGUCAGCUGUCAACGUCAACGCAGAACAGAUAAAAGCAGAUUUGAAUAUCCGACCUUGUCAGUCAGCUGUUGUUACUAGGCCAAGGAUGGACGGGUGAUAUCGACACCCGGACCAUGAAAAAAGUUUAUGUGUUUUUUUGUGCAACGUGUAUGUGGCCGUUUCUUUCUGUUUUUUUGCUGUUUGCUGUUGUACGGAGGACUAAGCUAGCAUUCAAAAUUUAAAAAUCAAAUGUACAUUCCUAAGAUGCACUUUUUUACACCUCUAUGUAGCGGUACUUUUUUAGUAUUUGACCAUUAGCUCCGAUGAUGACGUUUAUGUCGAAAGCGCUCAGCUAAGGAAAUAAAAUUAUUUACACACUUUGA